rnacentral:pre_miRNA from 1 species
AUAAUACUCCCUCCGUCCGGAAUUACUUAUCAUCAAAAUGGAUGUGUCUAGAACUAAAAUACAUCUAGAUACAUCCAUUUAAAUGACAAGUAUUUUCGGACGGAGGGAGUAGUAG